CAACUGGGCUUGGCUCUGUGACGCGCAGAGGGAGGAGCAUGUGCUUGAUCGCCACCCCCUUGCUACCUCCUCUCCUGGCACUCCACGACGCUGUCUCGCCCCCUUUUUUUUGCGUGUUUUCGUCUGUCCUUUUAGUUUGCCGGCGGCGCUGUUUGGGCCGCUGACUUGAUUAGGUGGGGCAGUCCCUCCUCCCUCUUCUCGCCCCGUCCGGCGUUUCACAGGUGACGCCGCAAACGAUGCCGUCUAUUCAGGUGUCUGGCCGUCAUGGCUCCUACGCGACGCAGUUUUGGAAGCCGUCUGCGUGGGCGGUAGCAGCUUCGCGAUUCCGUAACCGCGCCGACAUGCGCGCCGCGUACAGUCGUAAGGCGAUCGAUCGGCGUCUUGUUCUGCCACUGGACAGCCAUAACUGGAUUCGCGCUCUUGAGGUACUGAAUGCCGGCUACGCACGCCUCGGUCGCACCCCCGAGCACUUCAAAAUGGUGCUGAGGGAUAUGGUGGAGCACCGCGGCCCCUACGCUGAGCGCGCCACGUUUCCGUCAUCUGCCUUCGCGCCACCGUGCCCGACGCAGUCACGUGGCGGCGUCGACGGUGCAGAGGCCCGGGUCUUUGGCGGCGACGGCCAGCGGCUGCCCAGCACGCUUGCUGAGAUGCCAGCAGGCAGUGAAGGGGCCGCCGACAUACUUCCAGCUGUGGACGCGUUGCGCGACAGGGCCUACGCUGGUGAGAUUCCGUCAAACCGCUCCCUGUGGGUCACCCUUGUGUGGUCGUACUGCGCUCUUGACCAGCCGAGCGGCGCCCUCGACACAUUCCAUCUCGCUACGCGCCGCUUCCGCUUCUCGUCGGCGACGAUGCAGCACAUGGCGUCGUUGCUGCUGCCUGUUCUGUGCCGGCACGCGCAGCUGGAGGAGGCGACCAGGUUGUACGAGACUUACUUGAAGGUGGAUGGCACCAAAGAGGAUGCGGAUGGCGCGCUGGCAUCACGGCACCACCGCAGCCGCAUCGAGGACGCCGACGCGCGACGAUGGCUUGCCGAGGCGGCGGCUCGGCGAGGCGAUUGGAAGCGUGCGCAAAACUUCGCCGGUGAUGCACGUGCGCCGGCAGGCAGUGCACCCGCCGCUGACGACCACCCUCACGCCACCACUCGCGGCUCGCCAUCGCGUCGGACGAUCGGCUCCCUCUUCCACGACACGACCAGCCCAAAGACGCCGGCCCUGUCGCCUGGUGGCGCACAUCUUUUUGCCUCUUCGGAGGGUGCCGGCAGAACAGAAGGCCAGCAGGCGACGCCGCGCUCUUCAGCGGCGCCGCCAGCACGGCCAAUGCUGCAAGCGCUCAGCCGCGAGGCGGUGCGCCAGCUGUUUCGCUGCCUCUGCCGGGGCGGCAGUGAGUCGGGCUCGCACUCGCAGCUUCGGGAUGCGCUCUGCUGCUGGGAGCACUUGUAUGGCCCUGUGCUAGAAGCUGCAUCUGCCGUUGACGGGGAUGCCAUGGCCAGCUGCCGUGAUGACAACCCUUGCCGUCUCACGCGCCCCCCGCCGCUGGAGGACGUGCACGAGUUGCUGAACCUGCUCGCGUCCCACCGGCGCUGGAAGGAGUCUCUUUCCGUGUUCUGCCACCUCUUCCUGAGCAGGCCCGCCAAAGUGUACGUCUCUGCUACCCUCGCUGACCUUCAAGUGCUGCCGUCUUCCAUAGGAAGUAGCGAUGGCCCGUUAUCUGCAUCCGCGAACGGCGAAAAGCCCAUCACAGCACCAGUCCUUCGACUCGAUGCCACCACGCUGAACAUUUUGUUCUCGUCCCUCCCCGCCGCCGCUGCGCCGCUACUGGUGCGAGCAAGGAAGUCGACACCCACUUCCGCAACGACGACAGCCGAAGAGCGCGCUCACAAACAGUGGCCGUCGCAAUCCCACGCCGCCAGCGAUGAGCGCGAGCUGCGGCUGUCGGCGUCCGCUGUCCCCGUCACCGUGGUUCGCCUCUUUGAUGACCUUCUCCUUCUUCGAGAUGACAUGGUACUCACCGACUUCGUAAUGGCCGCCGUGGGACCGGCGCUGCUGCAGGUGGGACAAGCCGAGCGCGUCUUCGACCUCCUUGCACGCACGCCGAUGAUGGUGGCGGCUUCGCAGCGCAAGGCGCCAGCGUACGUCUCGACUGAGCAUCAGGCUCUGAAGGCGGAGUUGGUGGCGCUCGGGUAUGCCGCAUUUGCGUUGUGCUCCUCGUCGGCACGGCGGCACGACAUGGUGCGGCUGCUGCCUCACUUGUUUCCGCCGGAGGUGGUGCGCCGCGUUGCCACAGAGGGCGAAGGCAACACGCCGAGUAGCUGCGCUAUCUUCGAGGGCCGUGCUGUGUUGAGGAACUACUCGCGCUCAGCCACGGCGUCUUCCACUGGCGCCACGAUGAAGUCGGAUGACACGGUGGCGCCCAACGGCAGCGUCGAUUCCUUGCAGUCCCACACGCGCGCCAACACCGCGAGCACCACAGCACCGUCCCUCCUUGACAUGAAGUGGCAUGCCCCUACCGCUGCCUCUGCUUUCAGAGGGGGGGACCUCAACGUCCCUACCCGGCCCGGUCGACGAUCCAGCGCUGCCACGCUCACCUCUCUCGCCGAUGACGCGAUGCGCCGCGACUAUGUCCGUCUGCACGAGCGUCGCCGCGACGCCUUCACGGGCAGCCACGCCGACGCCGAGCGAGACCCGAGACCGAUUCCAAAAGGCUUGCACGAUCAUGCGAGCGGAUGGGACUUCUUCGGUCGCGGCGGCGAGAUGGUUUUUGCGAACCACAAGCGCACUCCGCACCCCUUCACGAUGCAGCCGAAGGUGAUGCGCGAUCUGCGCAACCCCUACCGAGGAUGGAACCCGCGCCGGAACAGCUCGCUGGCGCACAAGGAAAACGUCAUCAAGUGGAAUGGCAAGAGCGCCGUAUGAGUUUGUGCGGGGCGGGUGGCACCGUCAUGGCCGGGCACGGGCCUGUGCGCGUGCGCGUCUUCGCAGUGCGCCACACACUCGCGCGGCGGAUGUAGCAGACGUUUUUUUUUUUCAUAAGUCAGAGGUCCGCUCUCCCUCUCUCUCCACCCCCUCUUCCGGUCUGCAAACAGCAGCCUUGCGUCAGCGUCACCACCCCCUUGUUCAUCUCCGUAUGCGCGGGGCCGCCAACUGACACAUGCUCCGGCGCAGCACCGUACAGCGCAACGUUCCGUCCAGCUCUGCAGCGCCUGCAUGAAGGCUGGUCUCUCGUUUCUUCCUCCUCUUCUCCCGUUCUCCAGCCUGCUGUGCUGUACGUUCUCUGCCCGCACUUGCGGCUUACCGUGUUGUCCUUGGCUGUGAUGGCGGCUGUAGUAUGAUGAUGACAAGCGAUGAGGAGGAGAAGGAGAGGCAACGAUUCGACGCGACUCGUGCACUGCGCGCAGCGCACUUGAGCAAUGCCCCUACCGGUGCGUACGCGCUUGAUUGAACUUCGACUCUCUCUCUCCCUUGUUCUCUUGUAG
rnacentral:misc_RNA from 1 species